GACGGAGGAUGCAAGCGUUAUCCGGAAUGAUUGGGCGUAAAGCGCCCGCAGGUGGCAGUUCAAGUCUGCUGUCAAAGACCGGGGCUUAACUUCGGAAAGGCAGUGGAAACUGAACAGCUAGAGUAUGGUAGGGGCAGAGGGAAUUCCUGGUGUAGCGGUGAAAUGCGUAGAUAUCAGGAAGAACAUCGGUGGCGAAGGCGCUCUGCUGGACCAUAACUGACACUCAGGGACGAAAGCUAGGGGAGCGAAUGGG
rnacentral:rRNA from 1 species